rnacentral:rRNA from 1 species
UACGUAGGGGGCAAGCGUUGUCCGGAAUCAUUGGGCGUAAAGAGCGUGUAGGCGGCUCGAUAAGUCCGCUGUGAAAGUCCAGGGCUCAACCCUGGAAGGCCGGUGGAAACUGUCGGGCUAGAGUCCGGAAGAGGCGAGUGGAAUUCCCGGUGUAGCGGUGAAAUGCGCAGAUAUCGGGAAGAACACCCGUGGCGAAGGCGGCUCUCUGGGACGGUACUGACGCUGAGACGCGAAAGCGUGGGGAGCGAACGGGG